GACGAACGCUGGCGGCGUGCCUAAUACAUGCAAGUUGAGCGAUGAAGCUUGGUGCUUGCACCAAUUUGAAGAGCAGCGAACGGGUGAGUAACGCGUGGGGAAUCUGCCUUUGAGCGGGGGACAACAUUUGGAAACGAAUGCUAAUACCGCAUAAUAACUUUAAACAUAAGUUUUAAGUUUGAAAGAUGCAAUUGCAUCACUCAAAGAUGAUCUCGCGUUGUAUUAGCUAGUUGGUGAGGUAAAGGCUCACCAAGGCGAUGAUACAUAGCCGACCUGAGAGGGUGAUCGGCCACAUUGGGACUGAGACACGGCCCAAACUCCUACGGGAGGCAGCAGUAGGGAAUCUUCGGCAAUGGACGAAAGUCUGACCGAGCAACGCCGCGUGAGUGAAGAAGGUUUUCGGAUCGUAAAACUCUGUUGGUAGAGAAGAACGUUGGUGAGAGUGGAAAGCUCAUCAAGUGACGGUAACUACCCAGAAAGGGACGGCUAACUACGUG
rnacentral:rRNA from 1 species